UUUAAAGAGAUUAUUAAUUUUUUAAGGUAGAGCCAGUAUUAAUAAAAAUAAUUUAUCAUUUAGUAUAAUAUUUAGAAUAAUUAAUAUUAAUUAUAGAGAAUUAGUAUUGUGAGAGAGAUUUUAAAAAGUUUAAAAGAAAAAUUUGUUUUGUACCUUGUGUAUCAGGGUUUAUUAAAUAAUAAAAGGAUUUUAUUUUCUCGAAUUUAAAAGAGCUAAUAUAAUAUAAAUUUUAUUGUGAAAUAAAUAUUUAAAAUUUUAUAUUAGAAAUGAAACGUUAGACGUUUUUAAUAUAUCUAGUUAUUUAAGAAAAAAAUUUAAUUUUUUUAUUAUUAAUAUUGAUUUUUGUAGAUAAUUGAUUAUUAAUAAUAGAUUAUUUUUAAGGGGAUAAGCUUUUAAAAAGAUUAGUUAAAAAUUUGAAUAAUAUAAAAAAGUUAUAGGAUUAGUAGUGUUCAUUUUUAAAAUAAUGUUAUAAUUAAUUAUAUAAAAAUUUAAAUUUAUAUUAAUUUUAACUUGUUUAUUAAAUUUAAAAAAAUAAUAAAAAAUUUUUAGUAAUAAUGAUAAAAUUAGUAAUAAGUUUAUUGUAGUAAUAUAUUAUUGAUUAAGGUUAAUUAAAGGAAUUCGGCAAAUAUAUUUUUUACCUGUUUAUUAAAAACAUGGCCUUUUGAAAAUAAUUUAAGGUCUGGCCUGCCCACUGAGACAUUGAAGGGCCGCGGUAUUUUGACCGUGCUAAGGUAGCAUAAUCAUUAGUUUUUUAAUUGAAAGCUUGUAUGAAUGGUCGGAUAAAAAAAUUACUGUCUCUAAUUAAUUUUAUUGAAUUUUAUUUUUAAGUAAAAAAGCUUAAAUAGUUUUAAAAGACGAGAAGACCCUAUAGAGUUUUAUAAAUUAUUUAUUUUUAAUAUUUUAGGAAUAUUAUUUUAAAUAUAAAUAUUUAUUUAAUUGGGGUGAUUAAAAAAUAUAAUAAACUUUUUUUGAAUAGUUACAUUAAUUUAUGAAAGAUUGAUCCAAAUUUUUUUGAUUAUAAGAUUAAAUUACCUUAGGGAUAACAGCGUAAUUUUUAUAGAGAGUUCAAAUCGAAAUAAAAGAUUGCGACCUCGAUGUUGGAUUAAAAUUAAUUUUUGGUGUAGAAGCUAAUAGUUUAGGUCUGUUCGACCUUUAAAAUUUUACAUGAUCUGAGUUUAAACCGGUGUGAGCCAGGUUGGUUUCUAUCUUUAAAUAAAAUUUAUAUUUUAGUACGAAAGGAACAAAUAUAAGAUAAAUUAUUGUAAUUUAUAGAAUUUUAUU
rnacentral:rRNA from 1 species